rnacentral:rRNA from 1 species
UACGAAGGGGGCUAGCGUUGCUCGGAAUUACUGGGCGUAAAGCGCACGUAGGCGGCUUUCUAAGUCGGAGGUGAAAUCCUGGAGCUCAACUCCAGAACUGCCUUCGAUACUGAAGAUCUUGAGUCCGGGAGAGGUGAGUGGAACUGCGAGUGUAGAGGUGAAAUUCGUAGAUAUUCGCAAGAACACCAGUGGCGAAGGCGGCCAACUGGUCCGGAACUGACGCUGAGGUGCGAAAGCGUGGGGAGCAAACAGGG